rnacentral:rRNA from 1 species
AUGAACGUUGGCGGCGUGGAUUAGGCAUGCAAGUCGCGCGAUAAGAGUAGCAAUACUUGGACAGCGGCGAAAGGGAGAGUAAUACAUAGGUACGUACCCUUGGGACUGGGAUAGCGGCGGGAAACUGCCGGUAAUACCAGAUGACGUUUCCGAACCAAAGGUGUGAAUCCGCCUGAGGAGCGGCCUAUGUCCUAUUAGCUUGUUGGUGGGGUAACGGCCUACCAAGGCAAAGAUGGGUAUGGGGUGUGAGAGCAUGCCCCCACUCACUGGGACUGAGACACUGCCCAGACACCUACGGGUGGCUGCAGUCGAGAAUCUUCGGCAAUGGACGCAAGUCUGACCGAGCGACGCCGCGUGCGGGAUGAAGGCCUUCGGGUUGUAAACCGCUGUCGUAGAGGAGGAAAUUCUGGUGGGUACUCCCAUCAGAUUGACUGAUUCUAGGAGGAAGGACCGGCUAAUCUCGU